UACGUAGGGUGCGAGCGUUAAUCGGAAUUACUGGGCGUAAAGCGUGCGCAGGCGGUUGUGUAAGACAGGUGUGAAAUCCCCGGGCUUAACCUGGGAACUGCAUUUGUGACUGCAUAGCUAGAGUACGGUAGAGGGGGAUGGAAUUCCGCGUGUAGCAGUGAAAUGCGUAGAUAUGCGGAGGAACACCGAUGGCGAAGGCAAUCCCCUGGACCUGUACUGACGCUCAUGCACGAAAGCGUGGGGAGCAAACAGG
rnacentral:rRNA from 1 species